rnacentral:rRNA from 1 species
GGCGAACGCUGGCGGCGUGCUUAACACAUGCAAGUCGAACGGAAAGGCCCUGCUUUUGUGGGGUGCUCGAGUGGCGAACGGGUGAGUAACACGUGAGUAACCUGCCCUUGACUUUGGGAUAACUUCAGGAAACUGGGGUUAAUACCGGAUAGGAGCUCCUGCUGCAUGGUGGGGGUUGGAUAGUUUCGGCGGUUGGGGAUGGACUCGCGGCUUAUCAGCGUGUUGGUGGGGUAGUGGCUUACCAAGGCUUUGACGGGUAGCCGGCCUGAGAGGGUGACCGGCCACAUUGGUACUGAGAUACGGCCCAGACUCCUACGGGAGACAACAGUGGGAAAUAGUGCACAAUGGGCGGAAGCCUGAUGCAGCAACGCCGCGUGCGGGAUGACGGCCUGCGGGGUGUAAACCGCUUACGCCUGUGACGAAGCGUGAGUGACGGUAAUGGGUAAAGAAGCACCGGCUAACUACGUG